rnacentral:rRNA from 1 species
AAGUGAGAAUGCCGGUGUGAGUAGCGAAAGACGGGUGAGAAUCCCGUCCACCGAUUGACUAAGGUUUCCAGAGGAAGGCUCGUCCGCUCUGGGUUAGUCGGGUCCUAAGCUGAGGCCGACAGGCGUAGGCGAUGGAUAACAGGUUGAUAUUCCUGUACCACCUAUAAUCGUUUUAAUCGAUGGGGGGACGCAGUAGGAUAGGCGAAGCGUGCGAUUGGAUUGCACGUCUAAGCAGUAAGGCUGAGUAUUAGGCAAAUCCGGUACUCGUUAAGGCUGAGCUGUGAUGGGGAGAAGACAUUGUGUCUUCGAGUCGUUGAUUUCACACUGCCGAGAAAAGCCUCUAGAUAGAAAAUAGGUGCCCGUACCGCAAACCGACACAGGUAGUCAAGAUGAGAAUUCUAAGGUGAGCGAGCGAACUCUCGUUAAGGAACUCGGCAAAAUGACCCCGUAACUUCGGGAGAAGGGGUGCUCUUUAGGGUUAACGCCCAGAAGAGCCGCAGUGAAUAGGCCCAAGCGACUGUUUAUCAAAAACACAGGUCUCUGCUAAACCGUAAGGUGAUGUAUAGGGGCUGACGCCUGCCCGGUGCUGGAAGGUUAAGAGGAGUGGUUAGCUUCUGCGAAGCUACGAAUCGAAGCCCCAGUAAACGGCGGCCGUAACUAUAACGGUCCUAAGGUAGCGAAAUUCCUUGUCGGGU